CUGCGGAGGGAUCCAUAGCAA
rnacentral:rRNA from 1 species